UUUUGGUACCCUCUGACCCUGUUCCUCUCCAUGGCCUUCACACCCACCUGUCUCGUGGGGCUCAACGAGGAUCUCAAGAUGCCCAAGCUGGAGUUCCGCUCCAAUGCUAAGCCCUCACAGUACGCCUACCCCCCGCCCCUGGAGGACAAGAAGGAGAAGACAAAGGAGAAGGUCCUCACUGCGGUCCUCAGCAUCACCGCCAAACAGAAGAAGAAGGAGGCUGAGAAGAAGAAGGAUGAAGAGAAAAUGGAUGUGGAUGAUGAAAAGAAAGAGAAAGAAGAGGAGAAAAUGGAGACAGAGGAAGGAGAGAAAGAAAAACAGGACAAAGAGAAAUCAGAAAAGGAGAAAGAACCAGAAGCUAACUUCCAGAUGCUGGAUAAUCCCGCCCGAGUCAUGAAAGCUCAGCUGAAGGUGUUGGUCAUGCCAGAAGGAAGCCGUUAUGUACCAGUGAAAGACGUGUUUAAUGGAGGCAUCAUCUUGCUGAGGAACAACAAACCAGGAGAACAAGAGGAGAUCAUUGAACCAGUGGCAGCUGGAGGACCAAAGAUUGAGGAGGAAGAUGAACCAGAGCCACCCGAGCCCUUCGAGUGGACCGAGGACUGAGAUCAAAGAUGUGGAAUAUUACCAUUGCCCAGCAACAACAAAGGGAAUUGAUAUUGUGAAAAUUUUGACAUUGUAAACAGGGGGCGUGGCCCUCAUCAUGUGACAGAAUGUUUGUUUCUUACAUUUUAAAUGUAUUUGUGAAUCAGUUAUAACAAUUAAACAAUUACAUUAGUC
rnacentral:misc_RNA from 1 species